AUUGAACGCUGGCGGCGUGCCUAACACAUGCAAGUCGAGCGGUAACAGGUGUAGCAAUACAUGCUGACGAGCGGCGAACGGGUGAGUAAUGCUUCGGAAUCUACCCAAUGGUGGGGAAUAACCAGCCGAAAGGUUGGCUAAUACCGCAUACGUCCUACGGGAGAAAGCAGGGGAUCGUAAGACCUUGCGCCAAUGGAUGAGCCGAAGUCGGAUUAGCUAGUUGGAGGGUAACGGCCUACCAAGGCGACGAUCCGUAGCUGGUCUGAGAGGACGACCAGCCACACUGGGACUGAGACACGGCCCAGACUCCUACGGGAGGCAGCAGUGGGGAAUAUUGGACAAUGGGGGAAACCCUGAUCCAGCGACGCCGCGUGUGUGAAGAAGGCCUGCGGGGUUGUAAAGCACUUUUAGUUGGGGAUGAAAAGUUCAGGGCUAAUACCCCUGGAUCUUGACCUAACCCACAGAAAAAGCACCGGCUAACUCUGUGCCAGCAGCCGCCGUAAC
rnacentral:rRNA from 1 species